rnacentral:rRNA from 1 species
AGUGGCAGACGGGAUAGUAACGCGUGGGAAUUUGCCCAAUAGUACGGAAUAACUGCGGGAAACUGCAGCUAAUACCGUAUACGCCCUCCGGGGGAAAGAUUUAUCGCUAUUGGAUAAGCCCGCGUCGAAUUAGCUUGUUGGUGAGGUAAUGGCUCACCAAGGCAACGAUUCGUAGCUGGUCUGAGAGGACGAUCAGCAUCACUGGGACUGAGACACGGCCCAGACUCCUACGGGAGGCAGCAGUGGGGAAUAUUGGACAAUGGGCGCAAGCCUGAUCCAGCCAUGCCGCGUGUGUGAAGAAGGCCUUAGGGUUGUAAAGCACUUUCAGCAGGGAAGAUGAUGACGGUACCUGCAGAAGAAGCCCCGGCCAACUCCGUGCCAGCAGCCGCGGUAAUACGGAGGGGGCAAGCGUUGUUCGGAAUUACUGGGCGUAAAGCGCGCGUAGGCGGUUAGUCUAGUCAGGCGUGAAAUCCCGGGGCUCAACCCCGGAACUGCGCUUGAUACUGGCUUACUAGAGGUCUGGAGAGGGUAGUGGAAUUCCCAGUGUAGAGGUGAAAUUCGUAGAUAUUGGGAAGAACACCAGCGGCGAACGCGGCUACCUGGACAGAUACUGACGCUGAGGUGCGAAAGCGUGGGGAGCAACCAGAUUAGAUACCCUGGUAGUCCACGUCGU